UUGAGACCUAAAAAAGUCUGUGGGGAAUUUCAAAAUCGUCCGGGAUUUUGUUCAACUGCUUCAAACAUAAUACAUGUACAGUACAUUGUCAAUAGAAUUGCCACUCCGUUCCAUUUUACUCCAUUCCAGGUUUCUCUGUUCACUUUGCUGUGUGUGUGUGUGAAGAAAGUAGGGUGGGCUAGCCAGUCUACCCCGAGUGUUAACAAGCGAAAGCACGUGUGUCCGCCGGUUCUACGGCAAUGCCGAAACGAAAAUGCACGUUCACGGAGGAGUUGAAGAAAAAAUUCCCGUGCUUUCGCCAGGCUGCUCAAGAUGGUACUUUUUUUUUUUUUUUUUUUUUUUUUUUUUUUUUUUUUGCCAUACCUGCCCACAGUGCAAAUGUGGAGUGCAUCUUUUCACUGAUGCAAGCACAGUGGACGAAGGACAGGAAUCGCAUGUUUGUGGAUUCACUGAAACAGAUUUUGAGCACCCAGUACAAUUUCAGGAACAUGAUCUGCAAAGAUUUUCAUACCUACUUAAGGGGUAA